CGGAGGAAAAGAAACCAACAGGGAUUGCCCCAGUAACGGCGAGUGAAGCGGCAACAGCUCAAAUUUGAAAUCUGGCCUCGUGCCCGAGUUGUAAUUUGUAGAGGAUGCUUUUGGCGACGCGCCUUCCGAGUUCCCUGGAACGGGACGCCAUAGAGGGUGAGAGCCCCGUCCGGUCGUGCGCCUAGCCUCUGUAAAGCUCCUUCGACGAGUCGAGUAGUUUGGGAAUGCUGCUCUAAAUGGGAGGUAUACGUCUUCUAAAGCUAAAUACCGGCCAGAGACCGAUAGCGCACAAGUAGAGUGAUCGAAAGAUGAAAAGCACUUUGAAAAGAGGGUUAAAUAGUACGUGAAAUUGCUGAAAGGGAAGCGCUUAUGACCAGACUUGGGCGCGGCGGAUCAUCCGGCGUUCUCGCCGGUGCACUCCACCGCCCCAGGCCAGCAUCAGUUCGCGCCGGGGGACAAAGGCUUCGGGAAUGUGGCUCUCUCGGGAGUGUUAUAGCCCGCUGCGUAAUACCCUGGCGCGGACUGAGGUCCGCGCUCUGCAAGGAUGCUGGCGUAAUGGUCAUCAGUGACCCGUCUUGAAACACGGACCAAGGAGUCGUCUUCGUAUGCGAGUGUUCGGGUGUCAAACCCCUACGCGGAAUGAAAGUGAACGUAGGAGAGAGCUUCGGCGCAUCUCCGACCGAUCCUGAUGUUCUCGGAUGGAUUUGAGUAAGAGCAUACGGGGCCGGACCCGAAAGAAGGUGAACUAUGCCUGUGUAGGGUGAAGCCAGAGGAAACUCUGGUGGAGGCUCGCAGCGGUUCUGACGUGCAAAUCGAUCGUCAAACAUGGGCAUGGGGGCGAAAGACUAAUCGAACCUUCUAGUAGCUGGUU
rnacentral:rRNA from 1 species